ACACCGUUGGUGAAAUGGUAUCAAUGCAAACUUUGCAUUAAGUGGCGGGCAAGGGUCCGAUUCCCUUACGGUGUA